CCUACGGGAUGCAGCAGUGGGGAAUAUUGCACAAUGGGGGAAACCCUGAUGCAGCGACGCCGCGUGAGCGAAGAAGUAUUUCGGUAUGUAAAGCUCUAUCAGCAGGGAAGAAAAUGACGGUACCUGCGUAAGAAGCUCCGGCUAAAUACGUGCCAGCAGCCGCGGUAAUACGUAUGGAGCAAGCGUUAUCCGGAUUUACUGGGGGUAAAGGGAGCGCAGGCGGCCUUGAAAGUCUGAUGUGAAAUACCGGGGCUCAACCCCGGAGCUGCAUUGGAAACUGUGAGGGUGGAGUGUCGGAGAGGCAGGCGGAAUUCCUAGUGUAGCGGUGAAAUGCGUAGAUAUUAGGAGGAACACCAGUGGCGAAGGCGGCCUGCUGGACGAUGACUGACGCUGAGGCUCGAAAGCGUGGGGAGCAAACAGGAUUAGAUACCCCAGUAGUC
rnacentral:rRNA from 1 species